rnacentral:rRNA from 1 species
AACGCACCUUGCGCUCCUGGGCUAUUCCUAGGAGCAUGCCUGUUUGAGUGUCGUGAAAUCAUCAACCCCAGUUGGAUUUGAAAUUUGACUGGUGGCUUGGACUUGGGGGUUUGCUGGCCGUUUUGAUUCGGUCUGGCUCCCCUUGAAUGUAUUAGCUUGGACUUGUUCCUAAGGCUUCAUGGCGUGAUAAGAUCACCCGUCGAGCAGUCCUUGGUCAACGUUGGGUUCCGCUUCCAACCGUCCCCCGCGGACAACACCGAAACCUGGUUUUCGACAUCUGACCUCAAAUCGGGUAGGACUACCCGCUGAACUUAA